AGUAGUUUGAUCCUGCUCAGGACGAACGCUGGCGGCGUGCUUAACACAUGCAAGUCGAACGGAAAGGCCCUUUCGGGGGUACUCGAGUGGCGAACGGGUGAGUAACACGUGGGUGAUCUGCCCUGCACUUUGGGAUAAGCCUGGGAAACUGGGUCUAAUACCGAAUAUACCCUGCUGGUCGCAUGGCCUGGUAGGGGAAAGCUUUUGCGGUGUGGGAUGGGCCCGCGGCCUAUCAGCUUGUUGGUGGGGUGAUGGCCUACCAAGGCGACGACGGGUAGCCGGCCUGAGAGGGUGACCGGCCACACUGGGACUGAGAUACGGCCCAGACUCCUACGGGAGGCAGCAGUGGGGGAUAUUGCACAAUGGGCGCAAGCCUGAUGCAGCGACGCCGCGUGAGGGAUGACGGCCUUCGGGUUGUAAACCUCUUUCAGCACAGACGAAGCGCAAGUGACGGUAUGUGCAGAAGAAGGACCGGCCGACUACGUG
rnacentral:rRNA from 1 species